rnacentral:lncRNA from 1 species
CUGUCUUCCUACCCAGCGCCGCGGCUCUCGGAGGCUGCCAGUGGCUGGGUGCGCCUGGCCUGAGUCCUCCACCCGAAGAAAAUAAGGAACCUGGCCAGAGAGAGGCAAAAGGAAGAGUCUGCUCCUCAUGUUCCUUCUUGCUGUGGUUUUACCCUCGCCACUUAUUUCGUGGUCAUUCAUUGGAUCCAGCUUGGUGAGGGCGUGGACGGCAGAGCCCUGAGAUGGGAUCACGUG